rnacentral:lncRNA from 1 species
AGCCUUGCGGUGUCGGGGAGGAGCGCGGCAGCGCUCGCAGGAGCACCCAGAGCUCGGCUGUCGGGAUGCGGCCGCGGAGGGGAGGGGAACGGGAACGGCGGCACCUUCCCCCGGCGAAGAGCCAAGUUAAAUAGCCAGCGCCACGCCGCCGUCUUCCUCUCCCCUCCCGGCUCCGAGCCCUCGGCGAACGUCCCCCGUCCUACCCCGGCCGCGGGCGGCGGAGGGCAGCGCGGAGCCAGCCUGCUCCGCGGAGCCGGGACGCCGGCGCUGCCGGGAGGGGCGGGCGCUUUGGAGUCGGUGCCGGAGGCGCCGUGUCCCGCCGAGCCGCCCGUCUGACAGGACUACGCCAGCUGCAUGGGAGGAGAUGAGCGUGGCGGGGAAGCAGCCUCCUCCAGCACCGCUCGAGCGGCCCGGCAGCCUCCUCGUCCCCACCUGGGACUCCUCACAUGCCGUCCAAAUGUUUCCUCACUGAUACUUCCCACUUUGGCCUUGUACAGCUGCAGAUUUUUCACCUGUCAUUUUUAAGAAAUGACCUUUGGACUGUGGUGGCAUUAAGUGUCUGAGGGUGCUUCUGUGAGAUGCAGAAGUUCAUUGCCACCAUUCCAGUAUUCCUUGCAUAUAAUUUCUGUCAAAUCAUUUGGGGUUUUUCACACUGAACAAUUAUAUUGGUGUUGACAGUUGUAUGUGUCUGAAAAUCAUUAAAAAGAGCUUUAGAAAUCAAAUUUGGUAAUAGUUGUGUGGGUCUUGAGUCUUUCUUCUUAAAAGGAAGUGAGAAUGUUGUUGGUGAAGGUAUAGCCUGGGUACUUCAUAGACUCUAAUCUAAACCUACCAUCUUUCAUCUUAAAGCCAUUCCCCCCUGUCCUAUCACUGUAUACCCAAGUAGAAGUCCCUCUCCAGCUUUUUUGUAGGCUCCCUUCAGGGUGCAGUUAGGUCUUCCUGGAGCCUUUGCUUCUUCAGGCUGAACAAUGGCAGCUCACUCAAGUGUGUUCUCAGAGAACUGUGAGUUAGCUACUUUAUUCAUCACAGGUUUUUUUCCAGUACAAAAAUUUUUAUGUAGAGCCACGUUAGUGCUGGUUAUUUUGAAUUUUGGG